UACGGGGGGGGCAAGCGUUGUUCGGAAUUACUGGGCGUAAAGGGCUCGUAGGCGGCCAACUAAGUCAGACGUGAAAUCCCUCGGCUUAACCGGGGAACUGCGUCUGAUACUGGAUGGCUUGAGUGUGGGAGAGGAAUGCGGAAUUCCAGGUGUAGCGGUGAAAUGCGUAGAUAUCAGGAGGAACACCGGUGGCGAAGGCGGGUCUCUGGGCCGAUACUGACGCUGAGGAGCGAAAGCGUGGGGAGCGAACAGG
rnacentral:rRNA from 1 species